CCUGUUGGCUGCCUGAUGUGGAGGGACCCCUUUCUGUAAUAUAGUGCUUUGCCUGGUAUAAUUCUGAUUUAGAAAAACAGCUUUGCUUGGAGAGGAACAUUAAUUAGAUGCAAAGAGGGAGUUAUUUCAUCCUUCGGGUGGGGGAGAGUGGGGAGUGAGGGAGAAGAAAAAAAGUACCACAAAUAAAUUAUCUCCUAUUUGUGCAAUGUUUUAUGCUUGUCAGCUGUCUGUUGCCAGAGAACCACAAUGUAGCUAAAUACUUGUGACACCUUGCCCAAUCAAGGUAUAGCAAAAGGAUGUUAUGAGAGCCUCUUUGUGACAACCUGUGCUACUUUACAUUAGCUUGUAACCAAUCGCUUUUUUCCUCCGUGCUUGGAGAAAUUUGUUAAAUUAAUUCAGUUGCAAUUAGCAGAUUUAUGGGAAAGUACCCUGUUAUCCUUUAAUUGGAGAGCAUAAAACUACAAACUGGAUCCGCUGGUUCUAUUUGUGUAAUAGGCAAUCUAUCUACGACAAGAUUUGAUCGAUGGAGUCGUAUGAUGCCCUUGCCUUGUUUUAUAUUGGCUGUCAGCGCUUAACUGGGACUGAAGUAUCUGGGUAACAAAAAUUGAUAUAAUGACUUAAUGCGCCUUAUUCUCUUUGAGCUACAUCAGUUUAGAGCACUUCUGAGAGAAAAAUGUCUGGAAAAUAUCAGGGAGUCAUUUAUCAACCUGUUUUCAUUAGCAUACUGCCUAGCUCUGGCAAGGAUUUGAAUAAAAAAAAGCAGGAUGGUACAAUUUAUUUCAGGCCCCAUAUUUCUUGGAUGAAAGGAGACUUCUAAUAAAAGGAAAAUACGGAAAGAUGCUUUUUCUAGUUUCUUUUUCCCUAACGAAAAGUCCUACUCCUAAAGCUUUUUUUUUUUUGUUGUUGUUGAGAGUUCUGCUGUUAAUAAUAUGUUGGAGAAUAUAUCUCUGGGAAGGUAAUUAGAAAAGUAAUGCAAAAUGCACGGUGGUUCUGAUAUGUCGAGAAAAAAUUUCUUAAAACCCCCAGAUUACCUAAGUGUGUCAUGGGUGUGUGGCUGUCUGUCUGGCUCCGUUGUGCAUGUUUGUGUCUGUGAUCCACAGUUAAACGGUGAGCACAGAGAGUUCUCUGCAUAAGUGGGUGUUAUUUUUUAGCAUGAAAGGAUUUUAAAAAGUUAAGAUACAGUGUUUUGAGCUUUCCAGAGUGGGAGCCAAGGGGAAAUAGAAACAGAUCAAAAUGUUUGUAUAGUAGGCAAGAAUACAUUUGGUAUAUGGAGUCAUUUGUCCUACCCACCAUCCAAGAGUGAGUCCGUUUUGCAUGAAAUUUUUAUGCAUCAGUCAGCCUGCAUACAGUGUGCCUAAUGUAUAAAAUAAAUUGGUGCAUAAAUCAGAUUAAGAGCAGCAUGUUGCCAACUUUCGAAUUUGCACACAGGGAUGCAAUAUGGAUAUGGAGGAAUUCCCAUUUUUUAAAAUCUCUUAAUAGGGGAUGGGGUAACUCUCAGAUAGGCGUGGCACACAGGGACAUUCUAUCUACUCGGCUUUUCCACGUAUCACCCCACAUAAUGACAGAGGCAGUGUUGUAGAUGACCAAGCAGCGGUGUGGGAGUCUGGUGGGAAAGAGUCAUGUACGGAGGGUAGUAUCACAGUAUUUAAGAUAAUAUUGCCACCCUGUCUAUAGCCCCUAAUUAUGGCGAGGAAUUGGUGUGCCAAUCGAUAGUGAUUGAUGGGGUGGGGAUGAGCCCGUGCACGUUAGUCACAUUCAUCUUCAUGUAAAUUCCUGGACAUAAUAAGAAGUUAUUACCAGACGACAGUCACUGUCUGACUGCUAAUUCCUCGGCACAUGCUUCUGUGGGUGAGAGCCAUGGUAUCCACUCCCAGGGUGCAAGUUUGCCCUACUGUUUACCUGUUGUAUGUCAGGCCUGUAUGUCUGGUACCUGAAAAGUGGCUACUGGGUAGAAAAGAGUUGAGGUCACAUUGACCAUUUCUCUGUCAAACAGCAGUGCUGUGGUUAACCAAAAAGACAGGGAAUGUGUUUUUCUUUUUUUGAAUGCUGGAAAUAUGCUACUGGGGUUUGACUCAGUAAAAACAUAUAUGAUAAAUGGUUUUCUUAAGUAUUAUGUCUAUUAACAUCCGUAGCACCAUUUUUCCCCAAAGCUUAGGCUGGCAAAUUAUCAAUUGAUGAAAAUACAAGUGCUUUGUUUUAUCCCCCCUUUUUUUCUUACUAUGCUUUUUGGAGUUGGAUAUUUUUUAACCAUGUAGCUCUUUUACUUCUUAAAUCUCAUAUGCAGGUGUAUGCAGCUGUAGUUCUGCUGCCCCAGAGCCUUUUUUUUUUUUUAAUUUUUAAGCUUGUAUCUCUUUGUUUUCCCUUUUCCCCUCCCAAUAGCUCAUCAA